rnacentral:ncRNA from 1 species
AAGUUUCAUUAAGAUCGGCGGGUGGCACUUGGGUAGGUUUACUUGUUAGUAAUAAAAAUUACAAUCUGGGCCGAAAAACCGCCUGGCUGUCGGAAAAUUCCGCAAAAUUCAGUUACCGAGGGAAAGGAGAUACUUUUGCGUACGAAGGGUACAAAGUACCCGCGACGAAGUUGUACCGUUGCUCGCGAGUACGGUUACAACCUAUUCUCAAACUUUAAAUGGGUGAGAUCUUUGACUUUCUUGAACUAUGAAGUCACGAGUAUCUCGGAUCAGAGUGCCAAGUGGGCCAUUUUUGGUAAGCAGAACUGGCGCUGUGGGAUGAAACAAACGCAGAGUUAAGGCGCCCAACUCGACGCUCAUGGGAUACCAUGAAAGGCGUUGGUUGCUUAAGACAGCAGGACGG